AACGGGAGGGGCAAGCGUUAUCCGGCAUAAUUGGGCGUAAAGAGUUCGUAGACUGUAAAAUAAGUUAUUAGUUAAAAAUUAAAGCUUAACUUUAAACCAGCUUUUAAUACUGUUUUACUUGAGUUUUGUACAGAAGAAUAGAAUUUUACAUGUAGGGGUGAAAUCCGAAAAUAUGUAAAGGAAUACCUGUUGGCGAAGGCGAUUCUUUAGUAAAAACUGACGUUGAGGAACGAAAGUAUGGGGAGCAAACAGG
rnacentral:rRNA from 1 species